rnacentral:piRNA from 1 species
CCUCCUGGUGACACGGCCUUGCUAGCCGC